rnacentral:sRNA from 1 species
AGGCAGCUCUGUUUCAUUCUACUGCCACCGCCUCUGGUCCUAGAAAACAUUGAGUUUCUGGUGGGGAGAAUUGAGGGGGUGGGGAGGCAAGAUCAGAGACAAAUGCCCAUUUCUCUUCCCCCUCCAGAGAAAACCAGGGCAGAGAGGCCUGGGCCUGUGGAGCCAGAACUGGGUGGUGACUUUGUCUUUGUCAUGCUGGGGUGGGGGAGAGGGAGUCCUUUCCAGCAGUGAGUGUGUGUGUGUGUGUGUACACGUAUGCAUAUGUGCCUGUGUGGUGGGGUCUGGCCAAGUUUCUAAAGUCCCUCUUGGUUCUCUCUUUUCCAGGCCUGAUCACUUGAACGGACAUAUCAAGCAGGUGCACACUUCUGAGCGGCCUCACAAGUGUCAGACCUGCAAUGCUUCUUUUGCCACCCGAGACCGUCUGCGCUCCCACCUGGCCUGUCAUGAAGACAAGGUGCCCUGCCAGGUGUGUGGGAAGUACUUACGGGCAGCAUACAUGGCAGACCACCUGAAGAAGCACAGCGAGGGGCCCAGCAACUUCUGCAGUAUCUGUAACCGAGGUAAUCUGCCCACUGUUUCCUCACUUCCAGAGGAUGGGCCUGAGCGUGUAUGGGAGGCCUAGGGUUGUCUCAAUCACCCUGCCUCAGACUCCACUCUUUGCACAGCCACCCCCCACUUCCCACUGAAUGGUAAACACCUUCAUCACCCAACUAGCUAUUUGCUACCUCUUCCUUCCCAAGAAGCUUGGGGUGCUUAGAAUGGGAAGUCCCAGGAGACCAGCAGGUCAAAACAGAAGGAGAGAGGUUCUUCCCAAGCUUGGGCCCAUAACUCUCA